GAUGAACGCUGGCGGCAUGCCUAAUACAUGCAAGUCGAACGAACUACCUCUAUGACCUUGAAAGUGCUUGCACUGGAUUGUGAUUAGAAUUUGUAGUUAGUGGCGGACGGGUGAGUAACACGUGGGUUACCUGCCACACAGAAUGGAAUAACUAUUGGAAACGAUAGCUAAUACCGUAUAUGACCUUCGGGUUGAAAGGGGCGUUUGCCUCGCUGUGUGAUGGGCCUGCGGCGCAUUAGCUAGUUGGUAAGGUAAAGGCUUACCAAGGCGACGAUGCGUAGCCGGACUGAGAGGUCGAUCGGCCACAUUGGGACUGAGACACGGCCCAAACUUCUACGGGAGGCAGCAGUAGGGAAUUUUCCGCAAUGGACGAAAGUCUGACGGAGCAAUGCCGCGUGAGUGAUGAAGGUUUUCGAAUCGUAAAGCUCUGUUGUAAGGGAAGAACAGCACUAGUAGGAAAUGACUAGUGUGUGACGGUACCUUACCAGAAAGCCACGGCUAACUACGUGCCAGCAGCCGCGGUAAUACGUAGGUGGCAAGCGUUAUCCGGAAUUAUUGGGCGUAAAGCGCAUGUAGGCGGCUCUUUAAGUCUGAUGUGAAAGCCAGUGGCUCAACCACUGAAUUGCAUUGGAUACUGGAGAGCUAGAAUCUUGGAGAGGUAAGUGGAAUUUCAUGUGUAGCGGUGGAAUGCGUAGAUAUA
rnacentral:rRNA from 1 species